UACGUAGGGGGCAAGCGUUGUCCGGAAUCAUUGGGCGUAAGAGCGUGUAGGCGGCCAGAAAAGUCCGCUGUGAAAACUCGAGGCUCAACUUCGAGCUGUCGGUGGAAACUUUCUGGCUAGAGUCCGGAAGAGGAGAAUGGAAUUCCUGGUGUAGCGGUGAAAUGCGCAGAUAUCAGGAAGAACACCCGUGGCGAAGGCGGUUCUCUGGGACGGUACUGACGCUGAGACGCGAAAGCGUGGGGAGCAAACAGG
rnacentral:rRNA from 1 species